rnacentral:misc_RNA from 1 species
GUGCACAGCAAGUAUGUUAUGUGGCAUCUUUUGUUAUGGUUCCUAAUGUUUCCCAGAGUUUGUUUCUGAAAACAGAGGCCUUCCGAAGAAGCAAAGCUAAAAAAGAUAUUCUCCUUUCAGUGUUAACUUUUAUGAACUUCUGUCACUUCUUUCAGCUACAGUUGCUCUUUUCGUUCCACCAACACCCCCCCCCAACCUUUUCUUCCUU